AUGGUCUCUAGACUUUUCUGCUGUGUGGCCCUUUGUCUCCUGGGAGCAGGCCCAGUGGAUUCGGGAGUCACUCAGUCCCCCAAACACCUGGUCAAAGCAAGAAAACAGCAAGUGACACUGAAAUGUUCCUAUAUCUCUGGGCACCGCUCCGUGUACUGGUACCAACAAGCCCAGGACCAGGGCCCCCAGUUCCUCAUUGAGUAUUUCAACGGGAAGCAAAGUACAAAAGGAAACAUCCCUGACCAAUUCUCAGUGCAACAGUUCAGUGACUAUCGCUCUGAGCUGACCAUGAGCUCCCUGGAACUCUCGGACUCGGCCCUGUAUCUCUGA